GGAGGCAGCAGUGAGGAAUAUUGGGCAAUGGAGGCAACUCUGACCCAGCCAUGCCGCGUGAGUGAAGAAGGUUUUCGGAUUGUAAAGCUCUUUCGGAUGUGACGAUGAUGACGGUAGCAUCUAAAGAAGCCCCGGCUAACUUCGUGCCAGCAGCCGCGGUAAUACGAAGGGGGCGAGCGUUGUUCGGAAUUACUGGGCGUAAAGGGUGUGUAGGCGGUUAUGUAAGAUAGCGGUGAAAUCCCGGGGCUUAACCUCGGAAUAGCCGUUAUAACUAUGUAGCUAGAGUUAUGGAGAGGAUAGCGGAAUUCCCAGUGUAGCGGUGAAAUGCGUAGAUAUUGGGAAGAACACCGGUGGCGAAGGCGGCUAUCUGGCCAUAACUGACGCUGAGGCACGAAAGCAUGGGGAUCAAACAGGAUUAGAUACCCUGGUAGUCCAUGCUGUAAACGAUGAAUGCUAGUUGUCGGCUUUAGGGUCGGUGACGAAGUUAACGCGAUAAGCAUUCCACCUGGGGAGUACGGUCGCAAGAUUAAAACUCAAAGGAAUUGACGGGGACCCGCACAAGCGGUGGAGCAUGUGGUUUAAUUCGAUGCAACGCGAAGAACCUUACCAACUCUUGACAUCCUUAUCGGGGGGCGCAGAGAUGAGCCCUUUCAGUUAGGCUGGAUAAGUGACAGAUGCUGCAUGGCUGUCGUCAGCUCGUGUCGUGAGAUGUUGGGUUAAGUCCCGCAACGAGCGCAACCCCUGCUAUUAGUUGCCAGCGAGUAAAGUUGGGCACUCUGAUAGGACUGCCGGUGACAAGCCGGAGGAAGGUGGGGAUGAUGUCAAGUCAUCAUGGCCCUUACGAGUUGGGCUACACACGUGCUACAAUGGUAACUACAGAGGGAAGCGAGACCGC
rnacentral:rRNA from 1 species